rnacentral:lncRNA from 1 species
CCCGCCCCCGACACCCGCCGCCACACAAAGGCGCUGCGUCCUGGCGGCCAGCGGGGGCUUAGUCUAGGCCCGGCAGGGUUUUCUGGAAGACCAGAGGGCCACCAGGUCACCGAGGUGGGAAGUGAAGAGAGGUUCGACGCUGCCUCAGGCCUGGGCCUGGCCGGUGGGAGACACAGCAAGGACUCUGGGAGCCUGCAGAGCAGAGGCCGCCGCGGGGCCGGGCCCCCGUCUCCUCCUCAGGUCCAAGACCAGAGGGUCUGCAGGGCCCCAGAGCAGCUGGCCGCGCUCCGCUUCCCACCGCGCUCUCUGCUGGAACUCAUGUGGUUGUUUAUCCUUAUUUUGCUAAAUUUCUUUAUUUGCUGUAACAGUUUGUGUGUGUGUGUGUUUGAGUGUGUGUGUGUAAUUUUCAGGGUUUUCUAUAUAUAAAAAUCAUGUCACGGCCAGGCUUGGUGGCUCACACCUGUAAUCCCAGCACUUUGGGAGGCCAAGGUAGGAGGAUCGCCUGAGCCCAGGAGUUCGAGACCAGCCUGGGCAACACGGGCAACAUAGCGAGACCCUAGUCUCUAAAAUUUUUUUUAUUAGCCGGGCAUGGUGGCAGGCGCCUGUGGUCCCAGUUACUCCGGAGGAUGAGGCAGGGUAAUCGCUUGAACCAGGGAAGUCGAGGCUUCAGUGAGGCAUAAUUGCUCUGCUGCAUCCCAGCCUGGGUGACAAAGAGAGAUCCCAUCUCUCUCUCAAAAAAAAGUCAUGUUAUCUGUGAACAUAGAUAAUUUUACUUUUUCCUUGCCAAUACUGUGCUGAAUAACAUGGUGAAAGUGGGCACCCAUUAUUCCUGAUUGUAGGAGAAAAAUUUUCAGUCUUUCGCUGUUGAGAAUGAUAUUAGUUGUAUGUUUUUCAUAAUUGGGCAUUAUCAAGUUGAGGAAGUUUCCUUCUAUUCCUGGUUUACAUUGUGUGUGUGUGUGUGUUUUGUUUGUUUGUUUUGACAGAGUCUUGCUCUGUCACCCAAGCUGGAGUGCAGUGGCCGCGAUCUCGGCUCACUACAGCUUAGACCUCCAGGGCUCAAGCAAUCCUUCGACUUCAGCCUGCCAAGUAGCUAGGACCAUAGGCGUACAGCACCACAUUUAGAAGUCCCUGAGAAAAUUAUCUUGGAGGAAAACUCGCAAGUCCGACUAUUGGUUUUCCAAGGAAGCCAGUCUCGCCUGUGAGGAGGGAUCCUGCUCGCCCUGGGAGCCUACUCAGACACCAUGGGGAAUGGGGGGUGGGGCUCAGAGCGCGCAGGCUUGGUUUUUUUCCCCCUCCGAACUCCUGAGUUCCAGUGAUCUGCCUGACUCAGCCUCCCACAGUGCUGGGAUUACAAGUGUGAGCCACUGCGCCUGGCCUAUUACUUGUUUUAAUAAUAACAAAAAACAGCAAAAUCUUGCAGAAGGUUGGAAGGUAACCAAGCAGCUUAGCUUCAAACCACGUUUUAAAAACUUUGUUUCUUUUCUUCUUUCUCCCCAGUUUCUAGACAUAGCUUUGAGACAAACUGCAGAUGUGCUUUCUUUUGUCGUCAAUUACUGCCUUGGAAUGGGCAUUAAAACUGCCUUCCCUUUCGCAUCUUAUGCCCCCAUGCCUUAUGCUCAUUUAUUUACCUGGAUGCUUGUUAAGCUCAUACCAUGCCCACUUAUCUGGUCAUAUAUUUCCUUAGAAGCUUCAGGGGCUGAAUCCUGAUGCAGACCAGACAUCUCCAGAAUUCUCUCUCCAGUAGGAGAUUAAUUCAAGGACAAUAUUCACUCUUGGCUAGAGAUUAUCUGCAAGAUUGACUGUCAUUAAUUUGUAACUUGAUUGGGCCUACAAUGUCACUGGCCCCUUCACCAGGUGAAACAAUAAUUCAAGAUAAGCCAUCAGAAUGAGACACCCACUGGGCACCUCCUGCCUCUUGCCCCUCUGCAUUACAAGCUCCUCUCCUUGAAAUGCUUGGCCUCUCUCCAGAAAUUGGAGAGUGGCAAAUUUUGGCCAGCCACUCUCCCCAUUGCUAGCAUGGAUAAUAAAACUUACUCUAUUUUUAAUUACACCUCAUUCCUUUUUUUUUCUUUUUUUUUUUUUUUUUUUUGAGAUGGAGUCUCACUCUGUUGCCCAGGCUGGAGUGCAGUGGCACGAUCUCAGCUCACUGCAGCCCUGCCUCCUGGGUUCAAGCGAUUCUUCUGCCUGAGCCUCCUGAGUAGCUGGGAGUACAGGCGCACGCCAGCACACCCAGCUAAUUUUUGUAUUUUUAGUAGAGACGGGGUUUCACCAUAUAGGCGAGGCUGGUCUCAAACUCCUGACCUCGUGAUCCGUCCGCCUCGGCCUCCCAAAGUCCUGGGAUUACAGGCAUGAGCCACCACGCCCGGCCUCAUUCUUGUUCUUUUGGCUUUUUUCUACAAGUGACAAUCAGCCAGACCCUCUUUCAGCUACAGGAAGAGUUUGAUAAAGAGAAUGCCUGAGCUCAAUCUUGUGUGUUUUAAGGAAACAGAAAAAAAGGGAAAAGAAAAAGUCUUUUCCUGCCUUGUACCUCUGUCUAACUAAAAAGAGAGGCAGCUUCCUCACAGAAAAAUAUCACUGAUCUUAAAACUGAAUUCAAAGAACUGAAGAAGGAAGUUUCUAGUGUUUCACUUCUGUGGAUUUGGCCCAGAAAAAUCCACAGAGAAGGUGUUAAAGUCAGGUAAUUUAUCCUGCAUCCCUUAGAAAGCCCUAGAGCCAAUCAAAACUCUCCCCAAAGGGCUGAAAUCAGGCUCUGAGGGUUGUGGGAGUGACAGAGCCAUGUAAGCUCUCUGGAUUCACAGGUUUAGGUCACUGCUGAUGGAUUCAAUUACUAUGGGAGGACAUUUCAUGCUGUCUAAUUUUCAUUCAAUUGGAUGAUUCUCCCAAAUCCUUCGUUCUUUACCAUAAGUUUACUCAUUAUUUUAGCUUUACCUCAAGGCACUUUCCCCUGGGAAUUUUUCUGAGACCAGUGUGAGUUAGGUGUACUUCCUGUGUUUUGAUUUGUCAUACUAAAAAUCUUACAAGUAUGAAUUUCUACAUGAAAUAAAGGUAAGAUCUUAAUCUUAACAAUCUAGGUCUUAGAUUUCACGGUAUGGGCAUUAAACAAGUGUUUAUUUCUGUAUAGCCUUUUUGAUGAGUACCCAGCAAUCCCACUUCUACGAAUGUCUAUCAGUGAAAUUCCAGCUUAGCUCUGUAGUGGCUUCAUAGAAUCCAGUCAUUGCAGCAAUUUCAGGCAGCAGAGAGUUGGGGCAACCUGCAUGUCCAUCACCAGAAUGAGUCUAGGGGUCAGAAAUCUGCAAUCAGUUUCGGUGGACCAAAAUGAAAAUGUCAAACAGGGUGUCUGACACCCUCCAGAAGCACCAGAGGAGAAGCAGCUUUCCUUGGCCUUCCCAGCCAAAUCUCCCUCUGCCUCUCUCCCCUGGUGACGACAAUGGCUGGGGUCUUGACUUGCCAAGGUAACUCGUUGGGGAGCAGAGAGUGGGAUCCGCAGUGUUCUGGUGGCUGUUGGGAUCUGGGCGCGAGGAAGGAGAGUGGCUCUCAUGAUUCUCUGCAUUCUCAGUGCAGCGUGGCCCGUACUGGUCACCUGGGUAUAGCUUUACUGAAUUUCGCAGAUCUGGAAACGGAGAAGGGACUGGAUCUCCAAACUUGGACUGCCUUGGACUGACCCUGGCCUGGAAGGUGUGGGCUCAGGACUCCGAGCUCAAGUCAGUCUGUUCCCCCAACCCCUAACCCACUGCAUCCGGGUGAGGAGUUGGGCCCGAGCGCCACAGCGCAGAUAGGGUUGUUAGGAGCGAAAGACUGGAGACCCAGGGACUGUGGGGCUGGGCUGGUGGGGCCACUGCUACCGACUAAGCAGUACGGGCCGCCUGGAAGACCGAAGGCGGAGUUCGCUGAUGCGGAAGCCAAGGCACAGGGCAAUAAGGAUCCGCGCCAUUUCUUGUGAUGUCACCUGAAGCCUUGGCGGGUAGCUGCCUCUCAUCCAUUCGGAGGACAGGGCUCCAGCCACCGGCAGCUCUGAAAGAGUUUGAAGAAUUUAUUGUUCACAGAUGGUAUUUAAAUGGACUUAUUUCUAAAAGUCACAUUCCUUUAUUACUUAUUUGUUAUUAGAAGUACCCAUUUUCAUAUGUGUUUAAAACUAUUUGUGUCUCAAAUUCUCAGGAGAUUGAUGCAUCCCAGUUUACUCUUUUUGGCAUAUGUUUUUACUCAUAAAUUAGGUUAAAUUUCAUACUUGUUUUAUAAAAUUUAGUUAUUUGGUUACAUUAAAAUAUUUGUAUCCAGAUAAGAAGUCUCUUCCUUCUCCUAUGCUUUUUUUGGAAUUUAGAGCAUAUCUGAAAUAAAAUUAAUUUACUUUUUAUUACUAA